GGGAUUAUAAUUUAAUUGGUAAAAUGAUUGCUUUGCAUGCAUUUAAUAUGAGUUCAAUUCUCAUUAAUUCCA
rfam:Ashbya gossypii (= Eremothecium gossypii) ATCC 10895 mitochondrion, complete genome.